rnacentral:rRNA from 1 species
UACAGAGGUCUCAAGCGUUGUUCGGAUUCAUUGGGCGUAAAGGGUGCGUAGGCGGCGCGGUAAGUCGGGUGUGAAAUCUCGGAGCUUAACUCCGAAACUGCAUUCGAUACUGCCGUGCUUGAGGACUGGAGAGGAGACUGGAAUUUACGGUGUAGCGGUGAAAUGCGUAGAUAUCGGGAGGAACACCAGUGGCGAAGGCGACUACCUGGCCUGUUCUUGACGCUGAGGCGCGAAAGCUA